GGCAAGUGAAGGGGCAAAGCGGGUCAGGCUAGAUCAGGGUCUUUGGGCAGUGUGAGGACAUAUGUCAGCAAGCGCAUAACAAACACAGAAUUGGCGGCCCUAACAGCGGGGAAAAUAGUACCUGUGUAUCCACGGCGUCCUCACUGCUACCCCACAUGGGGCAUUCAGGUUUCACAGACAUCCCUUAUGCCUCAGGUCCUUCUCCAGUGCAGCCGUAGUAAACCAGCGCCCUGGUCACCAGGAGUGCUUUGGGCCCUGGCCUUCUAUUUGAAGGAUCACAAAGUCCCCCUCUGGGUAGGUGUGGAGGGUCAUGCAAAGGAGACCCCACCAUCCCCUGCUGGGGUCAGCACCCAAGCUCACCUGAGGAUUCAUGUGAAACACAUUGGAUGCCUUUGCCUGGGCCCACUGCCUCUUUCCCUUCUGAAUAAAGAAGACCCACCAUGAGACUCACAAGCGGGGUGAGGUGAGGCCUUACCUCCUCUGGGGCACACCAGGAAUGCCACACUUCCCCUCUGGGACAGAGCUCCGGGACCAGGGGCCACCCUUCCUUCCCUUCCUGACUCCACCCAAGCACCUCUCCUCGGCCUGAUACACAGAAACUGUCCAACGAAUCCAACACAGAAAGAAAGGACUUGGAGACCUGUUUCCAUUCAGCUCUGCCACUUGUCAGGUUGAGUUCCUGGGCAGGUCUACUAACGCCUCUGGGCUGAAGUGUUUUGUUUAUUACUGUUUGUUUACAGGACAGCAGAAUGAGUGUGGCCUGCAGUGGCUAAGGGUGGUGACAUUAUUCCCACUCACAGUUUCUACUGUGUUCUAGGGACUUAUGGGUCUGUGACAGAGGAGGCCACCCUGAGCCGUCAAGGGCACAGAGCUCCUUAUUAUGGCUCACUCACAACAGCCCUGCAAGCUAAACCAGCUCUUGUGAUCCCAUUUCACAGAUGAUUAGAAUGAGGCUGACUGAGAUGAAGUCACUUCUCUGAGUCGUAAGUAGCAGAUCCCAGGCGGCGUGACUCCAGAACUUCCCUGCUUCAUCCUACACUGAUUCUUGUUUCUCUUAUUUAUGUAUUUAUUUUUUUUCAUGAGGAAAGAUGAGCUCAGAGAUAGGCAGUGACUUUGCUGGUUUCUCACCACUCUCUGUGGGAUGUCAGAGCAGCCUAUGAACGUUCUUAGUCCUGGGAGGUGGAGGUGUCUAAAGGGUCAGGGAACGAGGACCAGGGCUAGAGAGCUGGUCAAUUGUUAGGGGAGAUCAGUCCUCUGCACCACCGGCCGAUGACCUCAUCUGCCUGAGGCCCCUGAAAGUUCUGAGUGCUGGGUCCAAACAGUCCAGAGGGUCGCAGGGACCAAGGGCCCCCAGCUUCUCUCCACACUGGAAUUUCAGGGUCAGAGGGCCCCUGACUCUGAGCCAUCCCUGCCCCCUACACAUCUUGCCUGUUGUCUAGGCUGUAGAAAGGCAACAGAUUAGUCAGCUAGAAACCUGCUUUGAGUCUACCCUGAAUGACCGGUUCCAGCAUAAGAGAAGGAGGGUUGCUGAGUAGGUGUGGGGUGGGGAAGGAGUGCCCACUCUGCAACUCGGCUUAGCACCUGCUGCCCUUUGCAGAAUCUGCAGGGUCCCAGGCCCUCCAAGAGGCUGAGCAGCCUCAAAAGGCAUGAAGCUGCUGGCAUGUACCUGCGGCUCCACAGGCAGCAUACAAGGGCAUCGCUAGUGCCUGGCCAUGUGAGGCUGGCUGCAGGAUCCCUAGGCGGACCCUGAGAAAUACCAUAUCCAAGGACACAACGCUCCCGUCCUGCCUAACCCACAGAGUUUGUUGAGAUGAUCAGACACAAUUCUAAUGAUGAUAGCAAAGCUUACCUGGAGGUUCCCUCCCGUAUCCCACUGUGCUUUGCAAACACUAACUCACUGGCUGAGCCCAGUUUGACAACAAAGUACUGAUUUCUCUAAAGUUCUCAUCAUAGACUGUAUGAAGAGCAUAUGUUUUAUACAACUUACUUAUUUUGCAAAUAUGGAUAAACCUUUGCAACCCAGAUCAUCAUAACAAGACCACGUGGGUUCAUUAGAGUCAUACAGUGUUUCAACGGUCAUAAUAUGACUAGUUCAGACCCCUUCGAAAUAGUGCUUCAGGUGAAUCAAUUCACCAAAUGUAAAACAAUGUACAUUUAUUAGUUGUUUUAAAACAGCAAAUUACUAUUCAUUGUGUAAUGAAUUGUUGCCUUACUAUGCCAUCCACCCAUCUUGUAGGCUGAGGCAUGGAGGCCUGUGUUCACCCUUCCGCACACCCACCUGUGCUUGUGAAAUGUACACCCACCUGUGCUUGUGAAUAGCAUUAAAGCCAUUUCUACAGACUUCGCAUGUGUAGUUUCAUUAUCUUCUGCCUUAAAACACAUUAAGGAAACCAUUCUCUUUGUCUCCCAAAUUGUGAAACGUAGUUCCAUUUACCUGCUUCCCAUGUUUUAAAGGUCAUUUGUGAUAUAAGUAUUGAGAAAAAUUUUCCCCCUAAGGAAACUGAGCUCUGCUCAAAUGCCGAGGUGAAUAAAUGCAGCGCUUUUCCCACAAAACACAAUCAUUCACACAAACACACGAUGCGAGUGCCUGUUUAGCAAUUGUUUCUGCGGGUUUGUUAUCUAUAGCUGUUUCCUCUUCAUUAGUUGUUUACAUUAUUAAAAUCUGAUAUAAAAUGCAAACUUUCAAAGAAUGUGUUUCUAGAUCCAAAGAAUUUAGAAAAUGUUCACUGUUGAUCAGAUUUUUAAAAAUAUAUUCAAAGUUAAUAUUAAGAGUAACUUUGAAUAAGUAGGGCUUUAGAGCAGGACGUGACAGAGAACUGACCUUUCAAAGAAUGAGCACAAUUUGUGACUAAGUACCUCUUUUAAAUGGAGUUUAGCAAUUGCUUUCUGAAUACCUGUCUUGACUGUCCAACAGUAGCUCCAUGGGGGCGGAUACCCUGGUGAGCACUGUGCUAGCCACAUCGCAGGUAUCCUACAUGUAUUUCUUAAAUGAAAAAUAUUCUUUCUAAGACAGUGUUAAAAAAUCAUGAGUAAGAAGGUCAUUAAUCCCUGAUAGCUUCAUAAAUGAGAUAUUCUUCUGCCCAAAGAGAUGCUGCUCUGCAAAUCACACCCAGGGAAUUCUGCUCCUUUUGGCCAUGGUCCCAUGAAGACACACAAGGUGAUCGUUUCAGAACCCUAUCAGUGUUCAACCUGGCUAACUUGUGAAAUAGUCAAGCUCAAAAGAUUCUCAAAGUGAUUUUCUGGGAAAAUAUUCUACUGUAAAGAAGUCUUCAUGCAUAGAGUAGAAUAAAAAUACCCAGUCCCUCCUGAGGGGAAUGAGAUCAUAGGCACUGAAGUGCUUUGAGAUACUCAAAGAAAAGAAACAUGACACAGCCUUUUAUUAUUUCAGAUCGUGAGACCAGGUCAGAAGGGUCGUUACGCUCAUC
rnacentral:lncRNA from 10 species